UCCCGGCGAAAGAUUUCUUUGUGGAAAUUUGUCUUUGGUGAAGCUUUCUCCUGCAAAUGUAGGCUCCUCUGGUCUGUUUAGUUGCAGAUGUGGAAGACUUUCUGCAGCAGUAUCUGCUAGAGCCUUCCAUGUACCAAAUUGCCUCCUCACCUGCCACACACACUCAGAAGGAAAGUUUUAUCUGAAGCAUAAAUCCGAGCUGGUCCUUUGAAGAAAACAUCAAACUUUUUCAACACUGGAACAAAAAAACAGAGUUACUUCAUCAAAGGCAGCAGUCUACCUAGACGUGAGAUCAUUAAUGGGAGGAGUGUAUUAUCAUAAGACUGCAGUCCCAUGGAGGAACAUGUUUAGGAGAAGAA